rnacentral:rRNA from 1 species
UACGGGGGGGGGCAAGCGUUGUUCGGAAUUACUGGGCGUAAAGGGCUCGUAGGCGGCCAACUAAGUCCGACGUGAAAUCCCCAGGCUUAACCUGGGAACUGCGUCGAUACUGGAUGGCUUGAAUUCGGGAGAGGGAUGCAGAAUUCCAGGUGUAGCGGUGAAAUGCGCAGAUAUCAGGAGGAACACCAGUGGCGAAGGCGGCUCACUGGCCCGAUACUGACGCUGAGGCACGAAAGCGUGGGGAGCAAACAGG